rnacentral:rRNA from 1 species
CCUACGGGAGGCAGCAGUGGGGAAUAUUGGGCAAUGGAGGAAACUCUGACCCAGCAACGCCGCGUGAAUGAUGAAGGUCUUCGGAUUGUAAAGUUCUUUUCUAAGGGAAGAAGAAAGUGACGGUACCUUAGGAAUAAGCCUCGGCUAACUACGUGACAGCAGCCGCGGUAAUACGGAGGAGGCGGGCGUUAUCCGGAAGGACUGGGCGUAAGGGGGGCGUAGGUGGAUUGGCAAGUCAGUAGUGAAACUCCAGGGCUCAACCUUGGAACUGCUACGAAAACUGUUGGACUGGAGUGCAGGAGGGGAAACCGGAAUUCCUAGUGUAGCGGGGAAAGGGGUAGAUAUUAGGAGGAACACUAGUGGCGAAGGGGGGUUGCUAGACUGUAACUGACGCUGAGGCACGAAAGCGUGGGGAGAAAAAAGGAUUAGAUACCCGAGUAGUC